CAUAGGUUAAUGAGGCGAACCGGGGGAACUGAAACAUCUAAGUACCCCGAGGAAAAGAAAUCAACCGAGAUUCCCCCAGUAGCGGCGAGCGAACGGGGAGCAGCCCAGAGCCUGAAUCAGUGUGUGUGUUAGUGGAAGCGUCUGGAAAGGCGCGCGAUACAGGGUGACAGCCCCGUACACAAAAAUGCACAUGCUGUGAGCUCGAUGAGUAGGGCGGGACACGUGGUAUCCUGUCUGAAUAUGGGGGGACCAUCCUCCAAGGCUAAAUACUCCUGACUGACCGAUAGUGAACCAGUACCGUGAGGGAAAGGCGAAAAGAACCCCGGCGAGGGGAGUGAAAAAGAACCUGAAACCGUGUACGUACAAGCAGUGGGAGCACGCUUAGGCGUGUGACUGCGUACCUUUUGUAUAAUGGGUCAGCGACUUAUAUUCUGUAGCAAGGUUAACCGAAUAGGGGAGCCGAAGGGAAACCGAGUCUUAACUGGGCGUUAAGUUGCAGGGUAUAGACCCGAAACCCGGUGAUCUAGCCAUGGGCAGGUUGAAGGUUGGGUAACACUAACUGGAGGACCGAACCGACUAAUGUUGAAAAAUUAGCGGAUGACUUGUGGCUGGGGGUGAAAGGCCAAUCAAACCGGGAGAUAGCUGGUUCUCCCCGAAAGCUAUUUAGGUAGCGCCUCGUGAAUUCAUCUCCGGGGGUAGAGCACUGUUUCGGCAAGGGGGUCAUCCCGACUUACCAACCCGAUGCAAACUG
rnacentral:rRNA from 1 species